rnacentral:rRNA from 1 species
UACGUAGGGCGCAAGCGUUAUCCGGAAUUAUUGGGCGUAAAGAGCUCGUAGGCGGUUUGUCGCGUCGUUCGUGAAAACUUGGGGCUUAACUCCAAGCGUGCGGGCGAUACGGGCAGACUUGAGUACUACAGGGGAGACUGGAAUUCCUGGUGUAGUGGUGAAAUGCGCAGAUAUCAGGAGGAACACCGGUGGCGAAGGCGGGUCUCUGGGUAGUAACUGACGCUGAGGAACGAAAGCGUGGGUAGCGAACAGG